CUGGAGUACUCGAGUGGCGAACGGGUGAGUAACACGUGGGUAAUCUGCCCUGCACUCUGGGAUAAGCCUGGGAAACUGGGUCUAAUACUGGAUACGACCUUUCUCCUUAUGGGGUUUGGUGGAAAGUUUUUCGGUGUAGGGUGAGCCCGCGGCCUAUCAGCUUGUUGGUGGGGUGAUGGCCUACCAAGGCGACGACGGGUAGCCGGCCUGAGAGGGUGAUCGGCCACAUUGGGACUGAGAUACGGCCCAG
rnacentral:rRNA from 1 species